GCCAGACUCCUACGGGAGGCAGCAGUGAGGAAUAUUGGUCAAUGGGCGCGAGCCUGAACCAGCCAAGUCGCGUGAGGGAAGACGGCCCUACGGGUUGUAAACCUCUUUUGUCGGGGAGCAAAGCGAACCACGUGUGGUUCAUUGAGAGUACCCGAAGAAAAAGCAUCGGCUAACUCCGUGCCAGCAGCCGCGGUAAUACGGAGGAUGCGAGCGUUAUCCGGAUUUAUUGGGUUUAAAGGGUGUGUAGGCGGACGCUUAAGUCAGCGGUAAAAUUGCGGGGCUCACCCUCGUCGAGCCGUUGAAACUGGGUGCCUUGAGUGGGCGAGAAGUACGCGGAAUGCGUGGUGUAGCGGUGAAAUGCAUAGAUACCACGCAGAACUCCGAUUGCGAAGGCAGCGUACCGGCGCCCAACUGACGCUGAAGCACGAAGGCGUGGGUAUCGAACAGGAUUAGAUACCCCCGUAGC
rnacentral:rRNA from 1 species